rfam:Clostridium cadaveris strain NLAE-zl-G419 genome assembly, contig: Ga0070261_142
CUUUCUUACGCAUAAUAGACCACCUCUAUACAUUUUACUGUUCCUGUUGAAUUUGAAACAGGUAUAGAAAAACGUGUUAAAUAGUUUUUCAGUUCCUAUUAAAUUACAUUCUUAAAAGCACUACUCAACUUCAAUAAAAAAACCGUUGUUUGGAAAUGCUAUUCGUGCUGUAAAAAUAUAAAUCUCACUUUCAAAUGGCGGUUUAAUGGAGAUAAACGUCGCCAUGAGAUAUAUUACAUAUAGU